AAGUCGUAACAAGGUUUCCGUAGGUGAACCUGCGGAAGGAUCAUUAUCGAGUUUUGACUGGGUUGUAGCUGGCCUUCCGAGGCAUGUGCACGCCCUGCUCAUCCACUCUACACCUGUGCACUUACUGUGGGUUUCAGAUGUUAUUAGCGGGGCCUUUACGGGUCUCGUGAAAGCGUCUGUGCCUGCGUUUAUUACAAACUCUUAAAAGUAACAGAAUGUGUAUUGCGAUGUAACGCAUUUAAAUACAACUUUCAGCAACGGAUCUCUUGGCUCUC
rnacentral:misc_RNA from 1 species